CUUUCCAAAAGCACACAAUCCCCACGCAUUCUACGCAUUCACGCAUUUCGGUUACGCGUUGGACAAGUAACCGAAAGGUUGCAAGAUCGAAUCCUCGAGCUGACAAGAGUACAAUUUAAACCAUGCCUCGAGGAAGAUCAGCCACCAGUGUCCACUCUGACGGCAGUGACAUGGAUAUUGAUGGAAUAGCGGAAACAGAGAUGGGAAAACUGCAAAGACAGUUCCGGAUCAUGGGGGGAGACCGGCUGGCCUACAGCAUCCAGUCUCAAGAUCACAUACGCAGACAGCGGCAGGAGAUAGAGAAGCUUGAGAAGGAACAGGAGGAGCUACAGCGUAGUCUCUGUGUGUCUGAGAGCCUAUCCCAGCGGCAGAGGGACAGUGAGGAUGCCCAGACCCUGCGCUCCAUGCUGGAACAGAGGGACGAGGUGGGGGACGAGGUGGAGAGGGAGAGGCAGAGUCAGGCAGAGCUGGAGCAGGAGAUCUCCAGCAUGGAGAGAAAGCUGACAGAGCUGAGGAGAGGCGAGGUCACUGCUACUCUCAGCCAAAAGUCCCAGUCCCGACAAACUCAGAAGGCGUCACGCACCCUGGAGAACAAACUGGAUAGAGCCCUCAUUCGCUUCAACGAGCAGCUGACUAAAAACAGCCACCUGAGAGAGGACCUGGAGACUCUGCGUGUGGAGCGGGUCCGGUUCCAGCAGCUCCACCGCAGACUGGACAAGGAGCUGCAGGAGAUCCGGAAAGACAUCGGAGAUAUGGUCAGCCUCUCCACUGCUGCAUAUGAUGUCAGGGUGGAGGCCCAGUCUAAGAUGAUCAUGAUGAGGGAGAAGGCAGUAAAGGACCUGUCUCAGUACAGCGCUGAAAUGAAGGAGCUGGAGAGGGUGAUCGCACACGAACGCCGCCUCAAAGAGUUCAUGACCACCAAGUGCAGUGAGAGGAGUGGCCAGGAUGAGGGGCAAGAACUGGGCCGCAGGCAUGCGUCAGAGUUGAAGGAACAGAGGAGGAUGGACUCUGGGGAGGAGUCAGUGGACACACUGGAGGAAGUCUUCCACGGGAUCCAGAAUAUCACAGGAGAGGAAGACCUGGACAUGCUGGUCACCAGGUUCAUCCAAGUCGAGGAUCAGAACUUUGCCCUCUUCAACUAUGUGAAUGAGCAAAACAACGAGGCUGAAGCUUUGAGGGACCAAAUUAACCAGACCCAGAGGGAGAUGGAGCAGUUUAAUGUGACGGGGCAGCAGCAGAAGCAGGAGCACCAUGCUUUGUUGAGAGACAUUGAUCAGCAACAGAGAGACACAGAGUCUCAGGCACACGAGAAUGAAGUCCUGGCCAGCGCUGUGAGCAAGAUCCUGGACCAGAUAAAGACAGGAGUGAACAGUGUGUUCCAUAAGAUGGACUGUGAUCGCUCAGUGGUGGAGGACUUGCUGGGCUCGUCCUCUGGCAUCCGGGAGAACAACAUCAUGACCUACCUGGGUCUGGUGGAGCAGAGGACCAACCAGCUGCUCACCAUGCAGGCCUUCCUCAACUCCAGGGAUCUCGAUAAGGAGUAUGACCCAAAAGACCUUGCCCGAUUUCUACUAGGUCAGAACCCUGAGGUUCCCAGACAAAAUAUCAUCAUACAGCCUCCUGUCACUGGGGAUGACUAUGACACAGAGGAGUCUCCUCUCACUGAUGAGGAAGAGCGGCCUCUCUCCCAGGGAGAACUACGCCAGAGAAUCAUGAAAGGGGUCCUGCUAAAGGAGGGAUCAGUGCGUCACGCAGGAGCAAGGAGAAAGAUGAGUGUUCCGUCCAACAGCCAUCCGCGCUCCCUAGAGGCCUGAGAGGAGCAGCACACAAGGAGACAGAUAUAUCCAGAUGGUUUUGUCUAGAAGAGAUACAGCUUGGUCAAAAUUAUACCCCUCUGAUUGCCCUGGGACACCACCUGCACCAGCCAGGCCCUGGCCCAGUCCCAAGGCCCACUUCCUACUCUCUACGCCCUACCUACCAGCAGACCAACAUCGCACUCUCUACGCCCUACCUACCAGCAGGUCACCACCGCACUCUACGCCCUACCUACCAGCAGGUCACCACCACACUCCCCACGCCCUACCUACCAGCAGGUCACCACCGCACUCUCUACACCCUACCGACCAGCACGCCACCACUGCACUCUCUACGCCCUACCUACCAGCAGGCCACCACCGCACUCUCUACGCCUUACCUACCAGCAGGUCACCACCACACUCUCUACGCCCUACCUACCAGCAGGUCACCACCACACUCUCUACGCCCUACCUACCAGCAGGUCACCACCGCACUCUCUACGCCCUACCUACCAGCAGGUCACCACCACACUCUCUACGCCCUACCUACCAGCAGGUCACCACCACACUCUCUACGCCCUACCUACCAGCAGGCCACCACCACACUCUCUACUCUUCCUCUUCUCUUUUCACCAUUUUCCCCUUCCCUAUUUUCCUUGUGUUAUUCCUCUCAUGCUCUUUCCAUUUACUUCUCUACCUUCUGCCCCACUAACUUUUUUUGUGGUCUCCUCUGGUUUAAGCUAUUCUUCUUACCCUUCAUACUUUUUUUUGGUUAUUUUAGUUCACAUCAAAGAUUGCGAUUAGUCUCAGAUAAGACAUAAAGCAGCUAGUUGGGACUUUCUGAGAAACAUUUAUACACUCACCAGACCCACAUCUAUACACACACACACUAUUUAUCCCUCUCUUUCUCUCUCUCUAAUCUAAGCUUUCCAAACUGGCUUGUAUCCUGUUCAUUUGUUACUUUUCUAUCUCACCUUCUAUUCCCUUAUCGUCUGUUACAGUCAAUGUCCCUUAUCGUCUGUUACAGUCAAUGUCCCUUAUCGUCUGUAACAGUCAAUGUCCCUUAUCGUCUGUUACAGUCAAUGUCCCUUAUCGUCUGUUACAGUCAAUGUUCCUUAUCGUCUGUUACAGUCAAUGUUCCAUAUCAUCUGUUACAGUCAUUGUCCUGUUUUCUACUCGUUUGGUUCUCUUGUCGCAAUAGGUCUAGUCAAAAUGGCACUUAAUUUCUUUACAUAAUACUUGCAUGCAAUUUGUCUUUACUUUCCAAAUACAUUUAGCUAAGUGUAUGCUACAACAUCUUUUCAUCUCACCUGGUAGGAUUCAGUGUUUGUAUCGCAUGUUAACAACA